rnacentral:rRNA from 1 species
GUCGAGGGGCAGCAUAUAGAUUGCUUGCAAUUUAUGAUGGCGACCGGCGCACGGGUGAGUAACGCGUAUCCAACCUACCCAUUACUAGGGAAUAACCCAGCGAAAGUUGGCCUAAUGCCCUAUGUAGUCGUUUGAUCGCCUGAGAUUUCGACGAAAGAUUUAUCGGUAUUGGAUGGGGAUGCGUCUGAUUAGCUUGUUGGCGGGGUAAAGGCCCACCAAGGCAACGAUCAGUAGGGGUUCUGAGAGGAAGGUCCCCCACAUUGGAACUGAGACACGGUCCAAACUCCUACGGGAGGCAGCAGUGAGGAAUAUUGGUCAAUGGGCGAGAGCCUGAACCAGCCAAGUAGCGUGCAGGAUGACGGCCCUAUGGGUUGUAAACUGCUUUUAUAUGGGAAUAAAGUGAGGGACGUGUCCCUUAUUGCAUGUACCAUAUGAAUAAGGACCGGCUAAUUCCGUGCCAGCAGCCGCGGUAAUACGGAAGGUCCAGGCGUUAUCCGGAUUUAUUGGGUUUAAAGGGAGCGUAGGCUGUUUGUUAAGCGUGUUGUGAAAUGUAAGAGCUCAACUUUUAGAUUGCAGCGCGAACUGGCAGACUUGAGUGCGCACAACGUAGGCGGAAUUCAUGGUGUAGCGGUGAAAUGCUUAGAUAUCAUGACGAACUCCGAUUGCGAAGGCAGCUUACGGGAGCGCAACUGACGCUAAAGCU